AACGCGAAGAACCUUACCAAGGUUUGACAUGCAGGGAAAAGCCGUAGAGAUAUGGUGUCCGUAAGGGUCCUGCACAGGUGGUGCAUGGCUGUCGUCAGCUCGUGUCGUGAGAUGUUGGGUUAAGUCCCGCAACGAGCGCAACCCUCGUCCUAUGUUGCCAGCGGGUAAUGCCGGGGACUCAUAGGAGACUGCCGGGGUCAACUCGGAGGAAGGUGGGGAUGACGUCAAGUCAUCAUGCCCCUUAUGUCUUGGGCUGCAAACAUGCUACAAUGGCCGGUACAAAGGGUUGCGAGACCGCAAGGUGGAGCGAAUCCCAAAAAGCCGGUCUCAGUUCGGAUUGGGGUCUGCAACUCGACCCCAUGAAGUCGGAGUCGCUAGUAAUCGCAGAUCAGCAACGCUGCGGUGAAUACGUUCCCGGGCCUUGUA
rnacentral:rRNA from 1 species